GCUACAGUAUAUAGAACAUUUACCAAAAAAUAAAUAUUUUCGUAAGGGUUAACCCAUAGAUUUUGAGAAAAAAAUUCAAAAAUAUGAAAAUUUUGUUUUAAUGCAUAGUUUCAUCCUUCAGUAACAUAUGAUGAAGGUCGAAGAGGUUUGGAUUUUUUUGGUGUCUCCGUUUCUCUAGAAAAUAGCGAUUUUAUUGUGGUUAGUCUACCAAUUUAUGGAGUAUUAUUAAGUUUUACUAAAUUAAUUUAAAAAAAAUAAAACGAUGUCAAUGUACCAUGAAAGAGAGUUUAAUAUAUAUUAAUACAAAUGUAGAAUGUGUUUAGAAAUUUUAAAACAACACUAAAGAUCAUAGGCUUAUAUAGAACAUUUACC